CCAUUUACCUCCAACUGAAAGAAGAAGAAGCAGCCUCUCCAACCCCCUGCAACUGUGUAUCCACAGCACCAAGAACCACAAAAAUGGCGUCAAUAGUGACGACGACGACAACUGCAGUAAUAGCAGCAGCAACGCUGUCACUCUCUUCUUCACUUCUUAAAAGCAAGACGCCUGUUCCGUACCUUACAUGCAUCCGCACGUUUCCUCGCAUCACAUGCUGUCUCUCAUCAUCUUCUUCAUCGUCUUCAUCGUCUUCAUCACCUUCUUCUUCUCCUCAGCUCGAAUUCAACAUUACAUUUGCACCACCAAGACCCAAGUCCCGAACGCCUAAAAGAACAGACGAUGAAGAAAAGCAACAAGGAGACGAGGUCGAUUUCCUUGGUGGUAGCGGGCAGCAGCUGUUCAUCCCUUGGAUUGUCCGCGGCGAGGACGGCAAUCUUAAGCUCCAGACGCACCCACCGGCGCGCCUUAUCCACGCGCUCGCCGACGCCAAAACACAGAAUGCUAAGAAAAAGGACAAGAAGAAAAUGAAAUUUGAGUCGUCGUCUGCAGAGCCCAAGCUUUCGAAAGCGGCGCGAAGAUUUUAUAAUCAGAACUUCAGGGACCCUCCCCAACGCCUCAGCAAAGUCCUCGCUGCUGCCGGAGUGGCAUCUAGGAGGAGUAGUGAAGAGCUUAUUUUUGAUGGCAAAGUCACGGUUAAUGGUUCUGUUUGUAACACUCCUCAGACCAGGGUUGAUCCUGCAAGGGAUAUUAUAUAUGUCAAUGGUAACCGUCUUCCAAAAAAACUUCCUCCAAAGGUGUAUCUUGCACUGAACAAGCCAAAAGGGUACAUUUGCUCAUCUGGGGAGAAAGAAUUUAAAUCUGUGAUUACUCUGUUUGACGAUUAUAUGAAGAGCUGGGACAAAAGAAAUCCAGGGAUACCCAAACCUCGACUCUUUACUGUUGGCCGCCUUGAUGUUGCCACAACUGGUUUAAUUAUUGUGACUAAUGACGGAGAGUUUGCUCAGAAACUUUCACAUCCUUCCUCCAGGUUACAGAAAGAAUACAUUGCAACAAUUGAUGGAGUUGUAAAUAAGAAACAUUUAAUUGCCAUCAAUGAAGGGACAGUAAUUGAUGGCAUCCACUGCACUCCAGAUUCUGUGGAAUUACUGCCUCGACAGCCUGAUAUAGAAAGACCUCGCCUCCGUAUUGUGGUUCAUGAAGGGAGGAAUCAUGAAGUAAGAGAACUAGUGAAACAUGCUGGACUUGAGAUUCAUUCCUUAAAGCGCGUAAGAAUUGGUGGUUUCAGACUUCCGUCUGUACUUGGGAUAGGGAUGCACAUGGAACUAAAGCAAAGCAACCUCCAGGCAAUGGGUUGGAAGAGUUAGGGAAGUUGCAGCUUAGUCACCACGUGUAUUUUUGUUGGUCUCCCUGCAAUUCUGUUGGAAGGAAACCCUUCAUCAUCUAUGACAAGAUGCUCUGACAAUGCAAAUCCAUCAACGUAGCCAUCACAGUCCGUUGCCGUUGCUAUCAUGAUUGCCGUCAUCAUCAUCCUUGCAUGAAUCUCCCAGUUGCUCGCGUUUGCUUCAGGUAUAUACCGGCUUUUAUAUAAAAGUGUGCGAGCCUGGAAGACGCUCGUAAAUUUUUUGAAGAGAUCUAGAACAAAUUGAAGUGAUAGUUAUGGAAACUAAAUGUUAUGGAAAGAUUUCCUCAUCUACUUGGAAUGAUUUUAUAAUUUUAUGUAAAUAGUUAUGUUGGUGCAUUAGCAAGUAAUGGCUGUCCUAUUAGCUUUAUCUCAUCAGGAUUGUCUUGUAGUUUAUGUUACAUGUGGUUGGAAUUUGUGAACCCAUUAGAAAUCUUUAUUUUGUUCCUCUAAAAUUCAUAUAUUAUUUUCUUUUUUGGAUGAU